rnacentral:tRNA from 1 species
ACCGAAAUAGCUCAGUUGAGACAGCGUUAGACUAUAGAGCGGAAAGACCCUGGUUCGACCCCGGAUUGCGGCA